UUCUUGGGGUAGAGCACGGGGAGACU
rnacentral:piRNA from 1 species